AUUGAACGCUGGCGGCAUGCCUUACACAUGCAAGUCGAACGGCAGCACGGGAGCAAUCCUGGUGGCGAGUGGCGAACGGGUGAGUAAUGUAUCGGAACGUGCCCAGUCGUGGGGGAUAACGUAGCGAAAGCUACGCUAAUACCGCAUACGAUCCAUGGAUGAAAGCGGGGGAUCGCAAGACCUCGCGCGAUUGGAGCGGCCGGUAUCAGAUUAGGUAGUUGGUGGGGUAAAGGCCCACCAAGCCUUCGAUCUGUAGCUGGUCUGAGAGGACGGCCAGCCACACUGUAACUGUGACACGGUCCAGACUCCUACGGGAGGCAGCAGUGGGGAAUUUUGGACAAUGGGCGCAAGCCUGAUCCAGCAAUGCCGCGUGCAGGAUGAAGGCCUUCGGGUUGUAAACUGCUUUUGUACGGAACGAAACGGCUUUUUCUAAUACAGAGAGCUAAUGACGGUACCGUAAGAAUAAGCACCGGCUAACUACGUGCCAGCCGCCGCAGUAAAAC
rnacentral:rRNA from 1 species